rnacentral:rRNA from 1 species
GUGGGGAAUAUUGGACAAUGGGCGCAAGCCUGAUCCAGCCAUGCCGCGUGAGUGAUGAAGGUCUUAGGAUUGUAAAGCUCUUUCACCGGUGAAGAUAAUGACGGUAACCGGAGAAGAAGCCCCGGCUAACUUCGUGCCAGCAGCCGCGGUAAUACGAAGGGGGCUAGCGUUGUUCGGAAUUACUGGGCGUAAAGCGCACGUAGGCGGAUAUUUAAGUCAGGGGUGAAAUCCCAGAGCUCAACUCUGGAACUGCCUUUGAUACUGGGUAUCUUGAGUAUGGAAGAGGUGAGUGGAAUUCCGAGUGUAGAGGUGAAAUUCGUAGAUAUUCAGAGGAACACCAGUGGCGAAGGCGGCUCACUGGUCCAUUACUGACGCUGAGGUGCGAAAGCGUGGGGAGCAAACAGGAUUAGAAACCCUUGUAGUCC